UCUUUGACAGGUUGCAGUAUGACGUCAUUUCCUUGGUGCAUUUGUAAAAUACUUCACCCACUGAAGACCAUGACUCUUUCCAAUGCUACCCUGCUUUUGCUGGUGACCUGCACCUGGAAGUUGUGAUGCUAAAGGCUCAUCUUAUAUUUUCUACCCCAUUGACCAUUUCACUAUUUGACUGUGCUACUGGGAGAUCGUAUUUGCAAACUGAGUAUUAUGAUGUAAUGACUGUGAUUUCACCUCCAGAAUUUGGAUGAAUUUAGGACGUGGGCAAGAUCGGGUUGUAGACUUCUAGGACUGAAGGCCAUGGUGUGUGUGGAUCAUGGUAAACUCACCAAAGCAAGUAAUGCCCUUGAGAUGGUCCUGCAGAAGCCAAUCAUUGCUUUCUUUUGUUGAUACCCAGUCUUUACUGUAUUACAUUCAAAUUGCAUAAAUCCAUUAAUGUCCAAAUAAAUUUUGUCUUGUUGCUGUGUUAGA